rnacentral:rRNA from 1 species
UUGAACGCUGGCGGCAUGCUUUACACAUGCAAGUCGAACGGCAGCGCGGGCUUCGGCCUGGCGGCGAGUGGCGAACGGGUGAGUAAUGCAUCGGAACGUGCCCAGUAGUGGGGGAUAGCCCGGCGAAAGCCGGAUUAAUACCGCAUACGACCUGAGGGUGAAAGCGGGGGACCGAAAGGCCUCGCGCUAUUGGAGCGGCCGAUGUCGGAUUAGCUAGUUGGUGGGGUAAAGGCUUACCAAGGCGACGAUCCGUAGCUGGUCUGAGAGGACGACCAGCCACACUGGGACGGAGACACGGCCCAGACUCCUACGGGAGGCAGCAGUGGGGAAUUUUGGACAAUGGGGGCAACCCUGAUCCAGCCAUGCCGCGUGCGGGAAGAAGGCCUUCGGGUUGUAAACCGCUUUUGUUCGGGAAGAAAUCCUCUGGGCUAAUACCCCGGGGGGAUGACGGUACCGGAAGAAUAAGCACCGGCUAACUACGUG